AGUCCAUGAUUCGGGCAAUUUUUUACCAAUCCCUUAAAACGCUCCCAUGCAGCGCUUAGGGUUUCAGCUUCUUCUUGCUCAAAAGUUCAUAAUCUCUCGACGCCU